rnacentral:rRNA from 1 species
UGGGGAAUAUUGGACAAUGGGCGCAAGCCUGAUCCAGCCAUACCGCGUGGGUGAAGAAGGCCUUCGGGUUGUAAAGCCCUUUUGUUGGGAAAGAAAAGCAGCCGGUUAAUACCCGGUUGUUCUGACGGUACCCAAAGAAUAAGCACCGGCUAACUUCGUGCCAGCAGCCGCGGUAAUACGAAGGGUGCAAGCGUUACUCGGAAUUACUGGGCGUAAAGCGUGCGUAGGUGGUUGUUUAAGUCUGUCGUGAAAGCCCUGGGCUCAACCUGGGAAUGGCGAUGGAAACUGGGCGACUAGAGUGUGGCAGAGGGUAGUGGAAUUCCUGGUGUAGCAGUGAAAUGCGUAGAGAUCAGGAGGAACAUCCGUGGCGAAGGCGACUGCCUGGGCCAACACUGACACUGAGGCACGAAAGCGUGGGGAGCAAAC